UCCUCGAUAGUCUAGUGGUGAGGAUAUCGGCUUGUCAUUGAAGAGAUUCUACAGAUGCGCCGGGGACCGGGGUUCAAUUCCCCGUCGAGGAG
rnacentral:tRNA from 1 species